CUCGGCCCCGGCUGUGGAGGCGAGGUGGCGGUGGGCUCAGCUGUGGCGGCAGGCUGCGGAGCUGGUACUUGGCCCGGCAGCAGGCCUGCAGGCCCGGAUGCAGAGAAUCCCAGCAUACACACAGUCCUCAUCAUAAGUAGGUCUGAUUGACAACACUAAUGCAUAGGAAAGGGAGAUGGCUGUACACCAUCUCCACACAAAGUCGGAAGCAGGAAAUGAUGUCACAGAAGGAAAAAGAAACUGUAAUACUGUGGCAGCACUUCUCAGUGUUAUUAAAAUCUUAUCUGUCAUGACAAACAAGGUGGUAAAACUCUAGGUUAAAUCAACCUUAACAACUACAUUAAUUUGCAAGACAAUGACUGCCAUGAAUAGACAACUGGGUAACACACUGAAACAUCAAAUUGAUUCUGAUGCCAAUGCAAUAUGCUAAUGCUUUUGUUCUGUCCUGAUCCUUGCAUCAAUUUGACUUCAAGAGCAGCUGCCCAAUAGUCAGGUUUCAAGAAGGUCAAAAAAGUGGCUGUUUGGAUUUUGCCCAGUUCAAGCAGGGAAUCGCUCCAUCUGAGGGGCAAAAAAUAAAAUAAAAUAAAUCAAACACAUUUCUUAGUAUGAAAUGCUUUUGCUGGCACAGGCCAACCUUUGUUCAAGUUUACAUUUUUGUCUUUAAAGUUUCUGAUGUCAUUCAGAGUUUAUGUUGUGGGAAAGGCAAGACUUCACGUUAAAGCCAACCCACAGGCCAAAAGAGUGCACUGCAGUAAUUACUCAGCUGCUGCAGACUUAUUAUUAUAAACUGAAGUUUCAUUAAA